GGCACUUUCGAGUCAGAUCUUGGAGAAGCCACUUGGGCUUACUAUUCUACUACUUUUUGCUGAACCUGGACAUGGCUUCAUACUCCUGACCCUGGGUCGAGUGAAUAUUGAUUACAAUUGGAAGAGUCUAGGAAUUCGGCCCAUGGCCAGAAUUCAGGAUAUCCAUGUAAAGAUAUAACAGACAGAUAUUAAUUCAUGGAAUUUGAUGAUAUACAUGCAAGAAUAAACGUGAACUGAUUAAUGAACAGUCUUUGUGAGUUAUUCAAACAUUCACUGGGAACUAACCCAGCCCAGUUACAUACGUUUGUAAACAAAAUGGCUGACCGAAAAACUGUUUGCAUUGAUAGCAAAGGCAGGGGCACUGGGAGAAUAAAAUAAACAAACGAGUUUAAUAAAUUCAAUA